AGGGCUUACCUGAAUUAACUUCUGCUACAAUUAUGGGCACACCUUAAAAGAGAAACAUCCAGGUCCCGCAUUACAGGUCUGCUCACCACAUGACUACCCAGACCACGAUCAAGACUGAUCAGACUCUGUUUCUUUGAUAAGCUGAACAGAUCCAGCUUCUAGAAUCUGUCACUACAAAGUGCCUGUCACAAAGCGAGGCCUUUUCAAAGCUUUUCUUUAGAGCCUACACAAUUUCUUUUGAACGUUCUCUUCAACUUGUGAUCACCAGGGCUUGACAGUGGUCAUGACAGUUGUGUGGUAAAAAUGAAACACACAUAACCUCUCUACUCUGAUUGAAGUGUCCUCCUGUUUAUACAUCCUGAGUUCUUUUAUCCUAUCAUCAUGAUGGGUGUUCCUGUUUCCUCAAAAUCCUGUCUUUUAUGUUGUAUCUGAUUCCCCCCCCAAAAUCCCCUAUCUUAUAAGGCUUGCCUGCAUUUUUUUAAUUCCUAGACAUAGGAUUUUACACGUUAGAUGAAAUAACAAAUACAGCUCCUAUUUUAUAAAUGAGCUUUCUCAAGUUUGCAUCUGCCAUUUGGUACCUGACAAGUAAUUGCUGGCACAGUUUCAGUAAUUGUGGACAGGACCGUAAACUGCUGAUGGACAACUGUGAGAGCUGGGGAGGGCCAAAACCAAACAUAUUUGAGGGCAGUACUUGCUAUAAACUACUACCUGACUACAGAUGAAAACUUAGCAAGCUUUUCAUUUCAUGCAAUGUGUCACAACUGAAGAUGAGACAUUUAUCAAACUAAGGAUACAAUAUUGUCUGCUUUUCCAUAAAAAAAGAUAAGAGUAUGUAUUAGAAUAGUAUUUAAAAACUCAAUCUUGUGCAUUAUGCUGCAAAUUGCAAUGUUCAUGAUAUAUUUUCCAAAGUACUACACAAACUGCAGUAUGUAACCAUAAAAAGGUAACUGUAGAUACAACUGCAGCUGAAGCAAAAGGCAAAUGUAAUCCAACUUGAUUAUCUUACAUUUUUUCUUAUUAUCCUUUCUUUCAAUUAAACACAUCAGAUUUUGUUAAC